rnacentral:pre_miRNA from 1 species
AGUGGAAUUGCUGGGUCAUAUGGAAACUGUCUAACUUUAGAGUGACUGCUAAAUUCUUUUCCAAAGUGGUUGCAUCAUUUUAUAUUCCCAGCAGAAAU